rnacentral:rRNA from 1 species
GACGAACGCUGGCGGCGUGCUUAACACAUGCAAGUCGAACGGAAAGGCCCUGCUUUUGUGGGGUGCUCGAGUGGCGAACGGGUGAGUAACACGUGAGUAACCUGCCCUUGACUUUGGGAUAACUUCAGGAAACUGGGGCUAAUACCGGAUAGGAGCUCCUGCUGCAUGGUGGGGGUUGGAAAGUUUCGGCGGUUGGGGAUGGACUCGCGGCUUAUCAGCUUGUUGGUGGGGUAGUGGCUUACCAAGGCUUUGACGGGUAGCCGGCCUGAGAGGGUGACCGGCCACAUUGGGACUGAGAUACGGCCCAGACUCCUACGGGAGGCAGCAGUGGGGAAUAUUGCACAACGGGCGGAAGCCUGAUGCAGCAACGCCGCGUGCGGGAUGACGGCCUUCGGGUUGUAAACCGCUUUCGCCUGUGACGAAGCGUGAGUGACGGUAAUGGGUAAAGAAGCACCAGCUAACUACGUG